rnacentral:pre_miRNA from 1 species
UAUAAGAGAUUUUGAGUUUUUUUUUACAACGUUUGACCACUCGUCUUAUUCAAAGUUUUUUGAAAUUAUUAUUUAUUUUUUUUACUUACUUUAUUAUCUACGGUAACUUAAGUAUAACUUUUCGUUUUUUAUAUUUGCAAAAAAAAUUUGAAUAAGACGAGUGGUCAAACGUUGCAAUCAAAAACUCA